GACAGAGGGUGCAAACGUUGUUCGGAAUUACUGGGCGUAAAGCGUGUGUAGGCGGCCAUAUAAGUCGGAUGUGAAAGCCCUGGGCUCAACCCAGGAAGUGCACUCGAUACUGUGUGGCUUGAGUACUGGAGAGGUUGGUGGAAUUCUCGGUGUAGAGGUGAAAUUCGUAGAUAUCGAGAGGAACACCGGUGGCGAAGGCGGCCAACUGGACAGAUACUGACGCUGAGACACGAAGGUCAGGGGAGCAAACGGG
rnacentral:rRNA from 1 species